rnacentral:rRNA from 1 species
AACGAACGCUGGCGGCAUGCCUAACACAUGCAAGUUGAACGAGAUCUUCGGGUCUAGUGGCGCACGGGUGCGUAACGCGUGGGAAUCUGCCCUUUGGUUCGGAAUAACAGUUGGAAACGACUGCUAAUACCGGAUGAUGACGAAAGUCCAAAGAUUUAUCGCCAGAGGAUGAGCCCGCGUAGGAUUAGCUAGUUGGUGUGGUAAAGGCGCACCAAGGCGACGAUCCUUAGCUGGUCUGAGAGGAUGAUCAGCCACACUGGGACUGAGACACGGCCCAGACUCCUACGGGAGGCAGCAGUGGGGAAUAUUGGACAAUGGGCGAAAGCCUGAUCCAGCAAUGCCGCGUGAGUGAUGAAGGCCUUAGGGUUGUAAAGCUCUUUUACCCGGGAUGAUAAUGACUGUACCGGGAGAAUAAGCUCCGGCUAACUCCGUGCCAGCCGCCGCGGUAA